rnacentral:rRNA from 1 species
UACAGAGGUGGCAAGCGUUGCUCGGUAUCACUGGGCUUAAAGGGCGCGUAGGCGGUGCGGUACGGUUUCGGUGAAAUCCCUCGGCCCAACCGAGGAACAGCCGGGGCUACGGCCACACUAGACGGCAUCAGGGGACAGUGGAACUUCCGGUGGAGCGGUGAAAUGCGUAGAUAUCGGAAGGAACGCCGGUGGCGAAAGCGACUGUCUGGGGUGCCUGUGACGCUGAGGCGCGAAAGCCAGGGGAUCAAACGGG